rnacentral:tRNA from 1 species
GCGUUCGUGGCUCAACGGAUAGAGCACCUGGUUACGGACCAGGGGGUUGGAGGUUCGAAUCCUUCCGGGCGCA